UGGGGGAUAUUGGACAAUGGGGGGAACCCUGAUCCAGCGACGCCGCGUGAGUGAAGAAGUAUCUCGGUAUGUAAAGUUCUAUCAGCAGGGAAGAAAGAAAUGACGGUACAUGAGUACGAAGCCCCGGCUAACUACGUGCCAGCAGCCGCGGUAAUACGUAGGGGGCAAGCGUUAUCCGGAAUGACUGGGUGUAAAGGGAGCGUAGACGGUGAUGUAAGUCUGGAGUGAAAGGCGGGGGCCCAACCCCCGGACUGCUCUGGAAACUAUAUGACUGGAGUGCAGGAGAGGUGAGCGGAAUUCCUAGUGUAGCGGUGAAAUGCGUAGAUAUUAGGAGGAACACCAGUGGCGAAGGCGGCUCACUGGACUGUAACUGACGUUGAGGCUCGAAAGCGUGGGGAGCAAACAGG
rnacentral:rRNA from 1 species